AAUAGAUACCCAGGUAGUCCACGCCGUAAACGAUGAGUGCUAAGUGUUAGAGGGUUUCCGCCCUUUAGUGCUGCAGCUAACGCAUUAAGCACUCCGCCUGGGGAGUACGGUCGCAAGACUGAAACUCAAAGGAAUUGACGGGGGCCCGCACAAGCGGUGGAGCAUGUGGUUUAAUUCGAAGCAACGCGAAGAACCUUACCAGGUCUUGACAUCCUCUGACAACUCUAGAGAUAGAGCGUUCCCCUUCGGGGGACAGAGUGACAGGUGGUGCAUGGUUGUCGUCAGCUCGUGUCGUGAGAUGUUGGGUUAAGUCCCGCAACGAGCGCAACCCUUGAUCUUAGUUGCCAGCAUUUAGUUGGGCACUCUAAGGUGACUGCCGGUGACAAACCGGAGGAAGGUGGGGAUGACGUCAAAUCAUCAUGCCCCUUAUGACCUGGGCUACACACGUGCUACAAUGGAUGGUACAAAGGGCUGCAAGACCGCGAGGUCAAGCCAAUCCCAUAAAACCCAUUCUCAGUUCGGAUUGUAGG
rnacentral:rRNA from 1 species